rnacentral:rRNA from 1 species
AAUGAACGCUGGCGGCAGGCCUAAAACAUGCAAGUCGAACGCCCUAGCAAUAGGGAGUGGCGCACGGGUGAGUAACAUGUGGGAAUAUGCCUUUUGGUACGGAACAACGUUUGGAAACGAACGCUAAUACCGUAUGGUCCCUCCGGGGUAAAGAUUUAUCGCCAAAAGAUUAGCCCGCACUAGAUUAGCUAGUUGGUAAGGUAAUGGCUUACCAAGGCGACGAUCUAUAGCUGUUCUGAGAGGAAGAUCAGCCACACCGGGACUGAGACACGGCCCAGACUCCUACGGGAGGCAGCAGUUAGGAAUAUUGGACAAUGGGCGCAAGCCUGAUCCAGCCAUGCCGCGUGAGUGAUGAAGGCCUUCGGGUUGUAAAGCUCUUUAGCCGACGAAUAUAAUGACUGUAGUCGGAGAAUAAGCCCCGGCUAACUUCGUGCCAGCAGCCGCAGUAAGAC